UCCCAUCAGAGUUAAUCCAGUUAGGAAGAUUUUUCCAAUUGAAAUUUGUGUAAGGUGUUGGUAAACAUAUAUUCACAGCGGAAGCAUACCAGAAUCUUUUUACUUACAUGAAUAAUAGAUAACCAAUAUUGUUUAUGCUAGACCACAUAAUCAUGCUAGAACACAUAAACAUACUGAAACUUAAUUCGAUAAAUACCUCUUGAAGCAUGAACAGAUACCUUCAAGCGAAUCCCCAAGUUAGACAGUCCUUCAAGUGAAUCUACAAGAUAGCCAUGGUCUUCUACAGUGAUCCCAAGUUCACAUCUGAACUCUCUCAAUACUAGGGUGGGCAAGUAUCGAAUAGAAAACUAAACAAUCUAGGGCUAGAAUAAUCCCUAAUUAUAGAGAUUUCUUCAAAGUCCAAAGAGGAGAAUCGAACACACGUUAUUUUUCUUCAAUUGAAAAAUACACGCUAGUUUUCUUUUUUAUAAGAAAACUAACGCCUCUCCCCUUUUCCCUUUAGAAUUAGGAUUCUGAGUUCUAGUUAAAUAUGGGCACUGGAGGGACCACAUAAUUAAUUACUGAGGCUUCCUAUUAUGGAAAUAAUUCCAAAUAAUUAAUUUGAAUUAUUCUUACCAUAAUAAAUUACAAAUCAUUCCACUAGAAAUUCGUAAUUGCACUCCUCUAUUUAUAUUUUGUAAUUCCCCAUUAAACACUUAUGUAAUUCCCCAUGUUAAGAUUUCAGAUACUAAUCAAUAAAUUAAAUUACUGACGAAUUUAACUUAAUGAUUAAUUUCCUUUAGAGCACUACUUAACUUAUUUCAUGUGUCGGAUUCAUAAAUCCACUUGCAAGGUUUGACACGAUGAAAACUUAUAAGUUUCUCAAAAAGGCAUAUCAAUCAAUCUCUAUAACGAGACAUGGAUUUCAUCAACUAACUUAUUAUUUCACCAAUAUAUAUUAUUAUCAUCCAACUUACCAGGAAUAUUGACCCAUCUCAGAAUCUCACCUUUUAAUAAAUCAAAACGAUAAUUAAUAUAUACAGAUCAUAAUAGUUAUAUCAGGAUUAAGAAUAUAAGUACAUUUAAUAGUUUAGAGAAUAUGUUUUGUCAGUCAGUCUAAAACAACUAUCUCUACUCGGUCCCGUUCAAUACAUACAAAAUGCACUAGCACAAGAAGUUGGAACUAUACCGUUCCCAUAAUCAAGAUAAAUUACCUAUAAUCUUGUGCUACAAUCGUACCGAUGGCAUGUCCAAUUUCCAUCCUAGAUUGUGAACAAAAAUCUUUAUACUUAUAAGAACCGAUGAUUUAAUCCUCUGUGUAUAAGCUAAAACUCUACACACUAAAUCAUCUACUAUAUAAGUAAAUAAACACCAUAAACGAAUAUAUGAUCUAUUAAAAUUGAGCAAAUAUUUAUUCUAUAAUAAAUAUUAUUUCUAACACAUGGUUAAUAGUAUAUAUCCCAACAUAAGGAUCAUUAGAAUCAGCUUCUAAUAGACUUGGAUUCAAUUGACUAACAUCAAGAUUACCAGCUUCUUGAAAAUCAGGCAUAGUAAAAACAAAGUUUUCUGUUUUUUGAUAAGGCAAAUUUAGCCACAUAGAGUAAUAACAUGCCAAGCCAAAACCACCAGCCCCACUAAAAAUGACAUGAAAAAUUCC
rnacentral:lncRNA from 1 species